rnacentral:lncRNA from 1 species
GUAUACUGAUUUUGUGUCCUUUGGGUAUAAUACCAAGGACUGGGAUAACUGGGUCAAAUGGUGGUUCCAUUCCAAGUUAGGAAAGCAAAUUUGACUCAUUAAAAAAUUACCCAAGCCAGGGCUUUCACUCACUGCAAAGCCACAGCUCCCAGAGAAUAACCCAAGGGAAGAUGUGAAAUGCAAAGAUGUCUUGAGCAAGUGAACUGACUUGGGAUCAGAUUCCUGAACCUCACCAGGAGACCAGGAACAUUUUUGACAUCCUCAGCGAGCAAUCUAAGGUGCAGAGAGCCUCAGUGACUUGCCCAUCUUCUCUGCCCACCUACACUCCACAAGAUGAGGUAUUCCCAAUAACCAACUUCCUACAUCCAUUCAGGGCCUUCCAGACUAGUAGUGAUCUUGAACUCCUGCUCAUGUUUUAUAAGACUAAGGUUUUUCACCCCUUAGAAACACUAUGGCCCUAUAAUAUAGUGGUCCACUCAAAACCUUCCCAGUAGCAUUCCACUUGGAGGUAGACAGAUGGGAGGUGUUCAAUGGCUAUCUGAGAACACUGACCUCAGACAGAGCUGGAGGAGCCCUUCCCAGCAUAUCCACUGCCCACUGCCAUACCCAGCCCUUAUUUUGAGGCCAGCAAGGCCUACCUACUCCAGAAGUCUUCUUUUACCACUACCCAAGCCCACAGAGACCCUGCAGGAUCUGAAUUACAGAACAGUUAAGAUUAGGCCUCACCUGCCACUUGUCCCCAAAGACUAGGGCAUGGGACUUGCUCCUCUCCCUCCCUGCAACACAUUUUUAUUACAGACCAACUCAGUGCUUGACACAAUCCUAAGUCCAGAGGUUUGGUGAUCAGUGAGAAAAAAAAAAAAAAAACUUUUUGUGGGGCAAUGAUCAUACAGAACUUCAGAUGUCCUGGCACUAACUCAGGUGCAGUGGAUGUAAAAGCCCAGAAUAGUGAGCAGCAUAGGUGUUUCACAGACUUGAUAUACAUCAGUGGGUGGAUGGAUAUAUCUGAUGAAUAUACCUGAGGCCUGUGGAAUUUGCUACUCUGUGAUGCUCACAUCCUCUCAGAUCUUCUCAUUACAGAUACUUAGCAAAGCUAUGAAUAGAACUCAUGGCCCAUGUCCCUCUCUGUACCCAUAUUAGAAAAGGUGGGAAGCUUGUGGAGAUGAGACUUGUAAGAAUUUAGGACAGCCAGGAUGACUGGUGAGUUUAGGUCAUCACACUAGAGCAGAAACAAACACCAGCUCUGAUAGUAGUAAUGUCUAUUAAAAAAUCAUAUUUGAAUGCUACAAAAUCUCAAGCAAUGCUCUGGUGUUGCAUCUCAAAAAGGAAAUUGUUUCUAAACCUUGUAAGAUGAAAAUAUU